GAUGAACGCUAGCGGCAGGCCUAAUACAUGCAAGUCGAGCGGUAAGUAUGAUAGCAAUAUUGUACCAAGAGUGACGUACGGGUGCGUAACACGUAUGCAACCUACCCUUUACAGAUGGAUAGCUCGGGGAAACUCGAAUUAACCCGUCAUAGUAUAGUUGAAUGGCAUCAUUUAAUUAUUAAACUGAGGUGGUAAAGGAUGGGCAUGCGUCUGAUUAGUUAGUUGGCGGGGUAACGG
rnacentral:rRNA from 1 species